rnacentral:rRNA from 1 species
UACAGAGGUCCCGAGCGUUGUUCGGAUUCAUUGGGCGUAAAGGGUGCGUAGGCGGCGGGGGAAGUCUGAUGUGAAAUCCCGGGGCUCAACCCUGGAACUGCAUUGGAUACUCCCUUGCUAGAGUACUGGAGAGGAAACUGGAAUUUACGGUGUAGCAGUGAAAUGCGUAGAGAUCGUAAGGAAGACCAGUGGCGAAGGCGAGUUUCUGGACAGUUACUGACGCUGAGGCACGAAGGCCAGGGGAGCAAACGGG